CUCUUCCAAGUAGCUAAUGGAGAAUUCCAAAGGGAUCGCAUUGAUCUAAUGUAUCUCCAACACUUGUGUGUUUGCUUUUUUACUUAGCAAGAUCAUGCGUUCCCUUCGGAGAUUUCCAUUUGUUGCUUCUUCUUCCU
rnacentral:pre_miRNA from 1 species